rnacentral:lncRNA from 1 species
CAGGUUAAUGAUUUUUUAAAUCCCUGUUUGGUCUUGGUGUAGAUUCAAAAAGAGUGAACCAGGAAACAUCAUGUAAUUGAAACACUUUUAGCUUAGAAAAGAGCAGAGCAGAGGGUAACUAGCUCAGAAUUUUUAGUUGGUGGCAUGUAUUUAUGAGAUGGAAAAGUCUAUGUCUGAGAGGGGACAGAGGCUUAUCUUCUAGCGUGGAAAGGAGAAGGGGAUGGAAGAAUCACUGAAGAGGAGAAUACAGACCAAUCUCACUCCCGUGACCCCACCCAGAAGUGAUUCAAUGCAAGAGGACAGCUUGGAUCUCCUAUGACUUCAUCUCUGCCCCAACCCAUCAGCAGCAAGCACUCAUUGCCUAGCAACCACCGGCCCUUACCCCACACUGUCUUUGAAAAGCUCCUGCUUAUGAGCCUUGGAUGAGACUGAUUUGAGUGUUAACUCCACCUCCCACGUGGCGUGGCUGGCCUCCUGUCUGUGAAACUCUUUCUUUAUUGCAGUGUUGUGGUCUUUAUUUGCGCAGUGGGCAGGAAGAACCCCUUGGGUAGUUACAAAAGGUCACCUGGAAAUGAAGUGACAACUAAUUAGGUAUGAAUCAACAUGGUGAGCAAAGGUCAGGGGAGAGGUUCACACUGCGGUGAUGGAUGGUCUCAAGGGGUUGGGUCGGAUUUGCAGUAAAAGAGAUUUUCCUGGAAUCUGAGUGAUGAAGAAUAACUUGCAAAUGCAAACUUGUUUCUCCUGCUGAUGCGUUCCUAGUCUAUAAUUGAAGAAGUGUGGGUCUGCUGUCUCAUUAUGGUAAAGUCUACACUUAGGAAACCCUCAGACAUACUCUUUGAUCAAAAUGAUGCUCAUAACAUUCUGUUUUUUCAAGGCCGAAGGAUCAGUGCCCCCCGCCCCACUCUUGUCCAUUACCGAGAGCAUCCUCACAGUCCAUUGGAAAGUCCAUCAUGAAGUAACGAAUUUGUUCUCUGUGUUUAUCACCUGAAUAAUAGAUUCAGGGCCCAUCAUCUCCUGGAAAGCUAUUAAUCAUACACUGCAGUGUGGCACAGGUUUGAUGGGUUGGCCUCAAAACCAUGCCUGGCUGGAUUGGAAUUGUGGAUGAUGUUCAAUAACUGCCUUCAGAAACUAUUCAAGACAUUUAAUGAAGACACUUUUUUCUCCAUGUUUCUCUUAGGGACAAAAAAUAUAGCCAAUAGCUUUUUCCUCCUGAUUGCAAGUGCUUUCCGAAAUCCUCUGUCUUCUUAAUGGAAGAAGAUUUCUAUCUUGGCUCCUAUUAUUUGAGAGAUGUGAAAAGCAGAUUCUCCAAAUAUAUGUGAGAAACAAAACAAAAAAACCAUUUAUGAAAAGUACAAAAAGUCGCACACAUAAUAAAAGCUAAGCCCUUCCUUUCUUCCUCCUUGGUUAACUUUGGAGCCUUGAUAAAAGACAAUCUGAACAAAGAGCUCUUUAGAACAACUACAAAAAGUUUCACAAAUGCAGCGAGCAAUUACAAACUCUGUUUCAAUGGGCCUCAGAGCCACACAUAGAGAGCCAGGGUUGCCCAAGGCCGUUUCCAAGAACAUUUCUGAAGUUGGGCUUAAAACAAUUUGUUUCCAUUAUCUUUUACUCAAGGUGGGUUCUGGAAUAAUCUAUGGAAUCAUUUGCAAAAUUCAGCAUAAACUUCUCCUUGCAGAAACUCUGGUGACAUAUCAUUUGGCUGAAUCUCACAUGAUAGAUACUAAUGAGAAAUGCGAGCAUGGGUUUGAUAUAGUAUGGGCUUCCUUUUUGUAGCUAAGACAAGCCAAUUCCUGAGAAGACAUGGAUUAAAAAAAAUUGUGUCAUAUUCAUCAUUAGACACCCUUGUAUUUAAUCUACUGUACAUGUCUAAAUAAAAUUGCAAAGUGACAGGAUUCAACUUCGCAUUAAUCAUCACUUGAAAAUGGGGAGAGUGAGAAAGGAUGGCAUCUCCUUGGGGCCCAUGGACAAGGAGAAGUUUCAAAUUAUUAAGCAGAGAAAACGGAAUGUGGCUUUGCAAAGGCAAGUCAGAGCAAGCUCGCUCCAGUCUGGAGUUGUUCAAAAGGUAUAGCAGUGGCGGCAGCUGAAAAAAACCUUGAUUCUAUGAACUCACUCACGCAAUUUAAAGUCCAAAGCAUGGCUUCAUAUGUUUGAAAAACUCUAGUAUAUAGUGUGCAUUUUAAUUAUAAAAGUCAAUCAGCCAGGCACGGUGGCUCACACCUGUAAUCCCAGCACUUUGGGAGGCCGAGGUGGGCAGAUCACCUGAGGUUGGGAGUUCAAGACCAGUCUGACCAACAUGGAGAAACUAUGUCUCUAUUAAAAAUACAAAAUUAGCAGGCACGUGCCUGUAAUCCCAGCUGCUCGGGAGGCUGACGCAGAAUUGCUUGAACCCAGGUGGCGGAUGUUGCGGUGAGCCGUGAGCCAAGAUUGCACCACUGCAGUCCAGCCUGGGCAACAAGAGCAAAUCUGUCUCAAAACAAACAAACAAACAAACAAACAAAAAUCUAAAAGGACUUUUCUACUUUAUGGAAAUUUUAACUUUUUUAUUAUAAAGGUAUUCAGCUGGUAUCAUGGUGCAAAGGAGGUUGCUGCCUCCCCUGCUUUGACCUCACUGUCCUUUGCAACUCUUGCACUGUCUCAUCCCAUCUGAAUGUCUGCUUCUUGGAGGACUCGAAAUAACACAUUUGUCAGGCCUCUGAGCCAAAGCUCAGCCAUUGUAACCCCAGCGACCUGCACAUAUACGUCCAGAUGGCCCACAGGAGCCAAGAAGUCUGGAGUAGCCGAAAAACCACAAAGAAGUGAAACAGACAGUUCCUGCCUUAACUAAUUAACCCACCUUACGACAUUCUACCAUUAAGACUUGUUCCUGCCCCGCCCCAACUGAUCGAUCGACCCUGUGACAUUCUUCUGGACAAUGAGUCCCAUGAUCUCUCCACCAUGCACCUUGUGACCCCCCGCCUCCCCUGCUGACAACAGAUAACCACCUUUAACUGUAGCUUUCCACUGCCUACCCAGGCCCUAUAAAGCUGCCCCUGUCCUAUCUCCCUUCACUGACUCUCUUU